GCGGGGGUGCCAGAGCCUGGUCAAUCUUCGUAAGAAGGACUAUAUGGGCAGGACUUAAGAUCCUGUGGCUAAGGCCUACGCAGGUUCAAAUAUAAGAACCUAGGUUAUUAUCAACUCCUAGACUUAUGAGAAAAUCCUGUCCCCCGCA
rnacentral:tRNA from 1 species